rnacentral:lncRNA from 1 species
UGUGCUUUUUGUAGAUUUGAAAAUAGAGAUGAGAGGUAGAGAUUGUCCCACUGGGCAUGCCAAAUUUGUAAACGUGGAAAUUCCUGAGAUGAAUGAGACAAGAACAUGUGUACAAAAUAAUAUUUGUAUUAAUGAUUUAGGGGUUACAAUCUUUUCUACAAAUUUAGCCUCUGAUUCGAUCUUCGUAAUGUGUAGAUUUAUGGAUUGUGUUGUUGGUCCAAGGGCCCUUCGAGGCUUGAUCUUAGGAUAAACGGGUGAUGAACGAU